GGGACCGCCGCCCCAGCUCGAGGACCCGUUAGACCGGCAAACCGCAGUCCCUGCCCCGCGGGCUUCCUUUACUUUUUGGGAGUGGAGGGCGGCUUCCCUGCUUUUUCCACCACAGCCCCUCCUCCCGCCGCAAUGUGGCUGAUGCUUAUAAAAAGUUGUAUUAAAGAGCUGACUGCAGCCGAGAAUCGAUCAACAAAAGCGACCAGCCUCUCUGGGUCUAUCCACGGCCUUCUCAACAGCUGACUUCAAGUUGAUUUCGUGCUUUAUUUCUUAAGAAUAGUGACUAACCUACGGGAUCUGAUUCAAUUUAUUAGGAACACAGUGCCACCUUCCAAAAUUACUUACCUAAGAGGACUGAGCCUGCUGUCCCUGGAGCAGUUAGCUAAAACAGUGCCUCAGUACGGAGCGUACCUGUGUUAACUUCUAGAGUGCUGUUUCCGGCAGAUGCUGAAAUCCACGCUGAGGUUAUCAAGCUCAUCCUACAAAAUAAAGCAAGUUCUUUGCAAUUUAAAGCAAAAAUCUGGGCUUAUUUUUAGCGUUUAGGGGAUGUGAAAGUUGUCUUAGAUAAGAUUCCAGGAAAGCUAGGAACUAAUGAUGCAAUUACAGUCACUUUUCAACAACUUUGGGGAUUGGGUUGAGGAAGGUGUGAAAUUGGGAAAUAUAAUAAAAGGUAUUAUAUUAGUGGCUUUC
rnacentral:lncRNA from 1 species